CCAGAAUCCUCUACGCCAAAGCAAUUCACAUGUGAUUACAGCAUUGCUUAAGUCCUCUGCUUCCUGAGUCUUCCAGCAAGACUAAUGGCCUGAGAGCAUCAGCCAGUGGGUGAGGGCCAGUGUCCUGACUGCUGACAAGUGGCCAUCUUAGAGAAGCUACCAGAGAGCCAAAGCACUAAUGGCUGCCUCAUCUUGGAUGCCACAACAUUGAAAUUGAUAAUGAGCUGGAACCAGGAAACCUUUGCAGGCCUGAGCAUUCUCACUCCGCCUCAACCCCCAAACCAGAGCAUCACGGAUAUGCCAACAGCCAGGGCACAACCCAGCCCAUUGGAUAAAUGUUUUCUGGCUUCCCUUUUUUUCCAUGGCAAAGGGGGAAUGCAAGGUGAAGGCUGCAACAGACAGUGGCCCAGGAUUUCAAACCCUGUUCCUGGAAGCAGCAGAUGGCUGCAGGAGGAUGAGGACCAGCCAGGCCAGAACCUUUGCUGGCAAGCCACUCUUCUUUUUCAAGACAGUGCUCACUGUGACAGCUGACAGUGUUGGCACUCCACCCAGAUCCUCUGGCUCCCUUUUGACCCUCUGGUUAUACACCCUGCUCUUCUCACUGUGAUUUUCUUCCAAACAUUCAGCACCUAUGAUUAGCUUCAGGAGAACAGCGUUCAGAGGAAGAGAAGGAAGCUACUCGGCACAGAGGGAUAAGAAAUUAUCCAGUAAUGACACAUUUGGCAAUAAAGAAUACAGAGAGAUGCUCCUGGACCUGAACAAGAAGACAUAGUGCCAGGAUACUAUGAAGAAUCAUCAUGAGCACUGAUUGGUCUACCCCUUCACUAACCCAUCUGGGCUUCACAUCUCAGACAAAAACCAUGAACUGUGCUUAUGCUCUCCUCCCUGAAGAAGCCAUGACUACCCAGAUUCACAAGAAACUUUUCUGCUGGAUGAAGUUAUUCUGCCCUUUGGAAGGAUACCAUCUUGCCUCCUUGUAAAAUCAGAAUGGACUGAAGCUUGCUACCUCCUGAACAGAGAAUGCAGGUGGGAGGAAGACUAGGGGCUGGUCCUAGCUUCCAGCAUGUAAGACCUAAUUCUUCCCUUAAGUGACUUUUGGCAAGGAAUGACUGCCUCCUCAGUUGCAUCCACUAUGUUCAAGAGUUGCUUUAUCUCUAUUUGAACUGACUCUCCAACAUAACUUCACUGUGAAAUGCAUUUUACCAAUCAUACAGUAAAUAAAACACCCAUUGAGCAA